CCCACUCCAGUAUUCUUGCCUGGAAAAUCCCACGGACAGAGGGGCCUGGUGAACUACAGUGCAUAGGGUCCCAAAGAGUUGGACAGACUUAGCAACUAAACCAAUUACACCAUGUGCAGUAAGCUGAUUACAAAGCUGGAACAAAGUUUGCUCUGACCCUCUUCCACCUAAAUUCUGGGGGUGCACACACUGCUCAUACCACUACAUUGAUUACUUUCUGCAUGCUUCUAUUCCCCUGAGAUUUUCUUUCUUUUUAAAUUUUUGCCCAGGCCCAGCAGCAUGUGGGAUCCUAGUUCCCCAGGCAAGAAUAGAACCCAAGCCCCUUACAUUGAAAGUGUGGAGUCUUAACCACUGGAUCCCCAGGGGAUCCCCAUGUGGGAUUUUCAAUUUCCAAAGAAUUGAAUAUAUCUUAGUAAGGCUAGAUGCUUUUAUUUUUUUCCAUUUCCUAGAUUUCCAACCAUUAUUCUGGGAACAGAGUUUUUGUCUUCCUGUCAGGGUGAUUAAUUAGAUUUAAUUUCAUGCUGUCUUCUUUGCCAUCCUAUCCUGGCCCCUGGUGACUGAUAACUCAUCUACAAAGUCCAAACAAAUGGUCACAGUAUCUACUUUUUAUUUUUGGAAGUUUUCCCCAGCCAAAACGCAGAGAACCUCUUCACAGGCAGCAGUUUAGAAAUUCCUGGCCAGGAUUCCUGCUCUCAACAGCCGCCCUUGAUAUGGCUAGAUGGCCCGUUGACUGAUACCCUAGGUGGCAUCAUGCCAGCUCAAGAGUUGUCAGGCUAUUUGAAUCAGGAAGCAGCACAGGGAGGUGAUAAAUAUAGAUGGGCAGCCUCCAAAACAGCUCCGCCAGGCGCCGUGUCUUCUUCAGGAAGUCCCUCCGUGCCAGCGCUGAAGCAUUAACACCACGUGUCCUUCUCUACACUUGACGUCUGUGGACACUUAGAGUGUGAGACAAAAGGAGGAAGAAGAUGAGAGUGGAGGGGAGACGAGAGUUUGUGGGUAAAGCGAGCAAGUCUGAGACGGGUGAACGGCAGCAGGGGGCCAGGAGCUCCCCCACCGCCCGCCCGCCCGGCUUUUCCAGCGACAGGCGUGAGCCGGACAGGAGGCGGCUGCUCUCAAGACUCUACAGUGAGACGAGGUUGGCUGGGAAAUGCUCUAGAGGCAGCUGGAUUCCAAGAGAGUCAAAGUCAAAGACGGAAAUGCUUCCUGGGCCUCAGUCCAUCACCCAGUCGGCCAUUCUACACCCUAUGGGUCGACAUAAGUCACUAGACCAGCCCAGAUUUGAGAGGUUGGAGAAAGAGUUCUCUCCUCCUGGCAGAACAGCAGCAGCCUCAGCAGCACGUGCCUAGAAGGGUAUAAGGAAUUUGCGGACAGACAGUAAACCCCCUACACACGAAACUUGAGUUGUGAACUUUCAGAGACGCAAAUGUGACCCUGGAUGCCCACUGUUGUGUUGUGUUGUGUGCCUCUCCAGGCACGGUACUGUAAGAUUAAGAAUGCGUUCUUUAUUCUUCAUGUGCAUAUUACUUGUGCGAAACCUAUUAUAUUAUAAAGCCUUUAUAGAACAGUACUGUGUAGCCAGUUGUGUAAGUUGGGUACCCAGGGUAACUUUGUUGGCAUUAUGAAUAAAUUGGGCUUAAGAACGUGCCCUCUGAACUUGCUCAUAUAUAGAGGACUUGCUGUAUUUUGCAACUGACUGUACCUUGCCACGUGUCCUCCCUGACCUACACUUGCUGACCUCUCCUUCCUUGACUCCAUUACUCUCCGGAAACGACGCCCUAGACUUGGUCACAUAUUGGUGAUGAUAAGCAGUACCCAGAUACAGUCCUUGAGUACUUUAUCUCAACCGCUGUGGCCAAAGCUGUGCAAAUGUCAUUGCGUAUUUCAUCCUCCAGAUUCCCUGUCACAGAGGUAUUUUUAUUCCCAUUUUAGGGUCAAAGAAAUUGAGACAUUCAGGAGCUUAACAGGUCUCACAAGGAAGAACCUGAGUUGGGAUUCAAACUGAGAUAUGCUUGAUUCCCACAUCCAUCAAGUUUUCACUCUGCCAUGCCAUGACACUAAAAUGCCUGCCUUGUUUUUUGUGUGCUCACGUGCCUAUGUGACCCUCACAGGCCUUUCCCUGAGGCAGAAAGAGCCUCUCUCACUCCUCUCUCCUCUCCCUUUUCCUUCUGUCUCCCUCUCCACUCACCAUGGAAAAGCACACACACGACACUUCACAGCAGCUCUCGUUUCCCCAGGCAAAGUUAGGUGGCCCGCUUCAGGAUCCAAUAAAACCCCUUUGCUUACUUUUCCCUUCUUGACCAUUUGCUCUUAUCUUACUUAUUUUUGCAUCCCUCUGACCUCUUAUAACCAUUGGUUGAUAAGUGAUUGUUGAAUGGAAUUUUCAAAAGCAUGCUAACUUUACGCACUAUUUUAUUUAAAAUAAAUAAACUGUUAUAUAAGGACCUACUGAAUAGCAGAGGGAGCUAUAGUCAAUAUCUUGUGAUAUCCUCUAAUGGGAAAACUCUGAAUAAAUGCUUCUCUGUCUGAAUUGUUCUGCUGUACACCUGAAACUAACACAAUAUUGUAAACCAACUCUGCUUCAUUUUUUCAGAAGGCACAGCAAGCAGACUCGAAGGAAAUGUAAUAGAGUGAAUAUAUGAAGGGGGGUUGAGGCAUUAGGUCAUUUUAUUUUCUGUGUCUACUUUAUUUUUCCAAUUUUCUAUGAUGAACAUGUAUUGCUUUCACAAUGGCUAAAGUAAAUUUGAUAAAGAGAAGAAAACAUGCUAACUUUGUCAAUUAAGAUGAUAUUCAGACAUAUUAAUAAUUUCCAUUGAAAGAAGCAAUCAAAUGAGUCUAAGGGUCAAAGCCGUAGUUCAUGCAGCGUUUCAGGAAGCCUUAAGUGCCAGUCUCACCAGGCUGCUCAUUCAUCCAGUUAUUGGCUUAUUCAGGUUCUUGUGCACAGGACAUUGUGUACUUUGACAAGACAUGCAUGCGUUUAGUUACUUAUUAAGAAAACUACCAAAUACAAAAAUUAACCAGUCUUAUGUUUAAAUGUCACUCGACUCCGCUAUCUACACUACAGGUUAAGUGGCUGGGCACCUUUCUUGAUUGCCUUCACCGUCAAGGCUGUGAAUACUAUAUGCUUACUGUAUACAAAUUCACAAUGACAUAUGCGCAACCUUGGCUACAGUGCUUGAGAGAAAGUACUCAAGGACUGAGUCUGUGUACUGGCUAUCACACUACUAUGUGACCAAGUCUAGACCGUCGUUUCACAUAAUAGGCCUCACAACUGACUCGUUGGAAGACAAUCAACACUCACUGCAGAUAUGGGUAGUCAUGUGGCGCAGCUCUGUUCACUGACACAUAAUCUGAAGUAUGCUAGUACAGUUUUUGUGAAAAGUUUCUUCUUUAAAUAAACCUUAGACACAGCUAGCUUCACACCCAUCUCCCUUCUUGCUGCUGUGAGUANNNNNNNNNNNNNNNNNNNNNNNNNNNNNNNNNNNNNNNNNNNNNNNNNNNNNNNNNNNNNNNNNNNNNGAGAGCAUUAAGAGAGAAACAGCCUAAAUCCUCCAUGAGACGUUUGAGCUACUGCAUAAGCCUCCAGGCAAUCUAUAUCCAGCCUCUUGCAAAGUACAAAAGAAAACACUGUUUAAACCAUUUUUGGUCAAUUUUUCUUACUUGUAGCCAAAUGCAUCCCUGUAUAAUACAAAUAGAGUUUGACAAUACAAUGUGGAAAUGACCUAAAAGGAGAAGCGCUAAUUGUAGCUAAAGAACAAUAACAACAUUACCGCAACAGAAAGUCUUAGAGGGCAGGGGUGUGUGUUUUCACUUUAUUCACUGUGGUGUCUCCAAAAUUUAGAGUAGUGACUGGCAUGUAGUAGGCAUUCAAUCAGUGCUUG
ensembl:lncRNA